rnacentral:rRNA from 1 species
UACGAAGGGGGCUAGCGUUGCUCGGAAUCACUGGGCGUAAAGGGUGCGUAGGCGGGUUCUAAGUUAGAGGUGAAAGCCUGGAGCUCAACUCCAGAACUGCCUUUAAUACUGGGAAUCUUGAGUUCGGAAGAGGUGAGUGGAACUGCGAGUGUAGAGGUGAAAUUCGUAGAUAUUCGCAAGAACACCAGUGGCGAAGGCGGCUCACUGGUCCGAUACUGACGCUGAGGCACGAAAGCGUGGGGAGCAA